rnacentral:rRNA from 1 species
UACAGAGGUCGCAAGCGUUGUUCGGAUUCAUUGGGCGUAAAGGGCGCGUAGGCGGCCCUCUAAGUCAGACGUGAAAUCCCGCGGCUUAACCGGGGAACUGCGUCUGAUACUGGAGGGCUUGAGUACGGGAGAGGGAUGCGGAAUUCCAGGUGUAGCGGUGAAAUGCGUAGAUAUCUGGAGGAACACCGGUGGCGAAGGCGGCAUCCUGGACCGAGACUGACGCUGAGGAGCGAAAGCGAGGGGAGCAAACGGG